rnacentral:rRNA from 1 species
UACGGAGGAUCCAGGCGUUAUCCGGAUUUAUUGGGUUUAAAGGGUGCGUAGGCGGAUUGAUAAGUUAGAGGUGAAAUGUCCGAGCUCAACUCGGGAACUGCCUCUAAUACUGUUGAUCUAGAGAGUAGAUGCGGUAGGCGGAAUGUAUGGUGUAGCGGUGAAAUGCUUAGAGAUCAUACAGAACACCGAUUGCGAAGGCAGCUUACCAAUCUAUAUCUGACGUUGAGGCACGAAAGCGUGGGGAGCAAACAGG